GCGUAGCACAAUUUGUGUCAGUUGGUUAAGCGCUCGUAUCUUAUCAACUUGAAAUUUUUCUUUGCAAUAUAACUCGAUGUUGUCCUCAAAACGGUUGUGCUUCAUACUGAUCGUAUGUUCGGCACUGAUCGUCUCGUCGCAAAGAAGGCGUACAUCUAGCCCAGAAAUACAGGCUCUUUUAAAAGAUUUUAAGCAAAAAAUUUUUGACGACUUUCGCCGUCGAAAUGGGCUCAAUGGAACUACACCAUCUAACAUUACCGAUUCCAGUAGUUCAUCUAACACCACCAGUUCUCCUAUUAGAAAAAGAUAAUUCAAAAACUGGUUAUAUGACAUUCAAUUAAACUCGGCUAUAUUUUGAAAACUCCCUGUAAAUCAUAUAAUUUCGUAUUAAAAUAUCGUGAUGUGACCCAGCCUUCUGGGGAAAUAAAGAAUUAAUAUAAAAGCUCCUUCAGACCAAAAAAUGCAUGAAAGUGAGAUGAAUGCGAGUAAAAAUCACAACGCAACAAAACAGGCCCAUCAGUUUAAACAACCAUAAUAAGGCAACCAGAAGAAGGAAAAAACAAAACAACAACACGAAGCGUAAGGAGUGGUGGUGGGGGUUAUGCAAAAUUAAGAGCACUCUCUGCGAAACACUGAAAAUGAGCAUCCCAAAACUGUAUGAAUGAAGGAAAAGAGACACACCGGCAAUAAAAUAUAUUGAAGUGAAUUUUAAUGAAUAUUA